UGACCCAACCUAUAUAGUUAUACUAGGCCUCAAAAUUUGGCCCAAAACAAAAAUUGAUCCUACAAAAAUUUAAAAAAAUGCUGAUAGAAAAAUAAAAAAAUGUUGGCCCAUAAUAGAAAUAAAACGUUUGGGUUUAGGGGCCCAAUUUUGUUCAGUUUGGCUGUCUUUUAGAAACUGAAAUUUCUUUACCCAUUUUUAUGUUUUUCGAAUCAAGAAAAAAAAUGAAAAAACGAAUUGUGUUCUAGGGCUCCUGUCGCUCCUCGAAGUCGAAGGAUAAGAUUUGGGUUUGUGUUUGUGUUUGGGAGAUCAGUUUCAGUUUCAUCACGAGCAGCGCCCAAAAGAUUACAAGUGAAUUCUCGGUGCAAGGUGGAAUAAAGCUUGAUGAAUUUCUAGUGCGAAGAACAAAGCUUGAUUAUGUAUUUAUGUUUUUUCAUAUUUAUUCAACGUUGAUAUUUGUAUUAAGAGUUCAUAUUAUCUAUGUACAUGUUUAUUGCUUUUGGUUGUUUGGAAUAUGGGAUUUGUAACAGACAUUUGAUAUAUAAUGGCUUGUUUAACCGUCAA